rnacentral:rRNA from 1 species
GACGAACGCUGGCGGCGUGCUUAACACAUGCAAGUCGAACGGAAAGGCCCUUCGGGGUACUCGAGUGGCGAACGGGUGAGUAACACGUGGGUGAUCUGCCCUGCACUUUGGGAUAAGCCUGGGAAACUGGGUCUAAUACCGAAUAGGACCACGCGCUUCAUGGCGUGUGGUGGAAAGCUUUUGCGGUGUGGGAUGGGCCCGCGGCCUAUCAGCUUGUUGGUGGGGUAAUGGCAUACCAAGGCGACGCCGGGUAACCGGCCUGAGAGGGUGACCGGCCACACGGGGACUGAGAGACGGAGCAGACUCCUACGGGAGGCAGCAGUGGGGAAUAUUGCACAAUGGGCGCAAGCCUGAUGCAGCGACGCCGCGUGAGGGAUGACGGCCUUCGGGUUGUAAACCUCUUUCACCAGGGACGAAGCGUAAGUGACGGUACCUGGAGAAGAAGCACCGGCCAACUACGUG